CGCCGGACCUGACUGCUAUCGGAUUGAUACUAAGCCAUGCGAGUCAUUGUAGCAAUACAAGGCAUACGGCUCAGUAACGCGUAGUCAACCUAACCUAUGGACGGGAAUAACCUCGGGAAACUGAGAAUAAUGCCCGAUAGAACAUUAUGCCUGGAAUGGUUUAUGUUCCAAAUGAUUUAUCGCCGUAGGAUGGGACUGCGGCCUAUCAGUUUGUUGGUGAGGUAAUGGCCCACCAAGACUAUUACAGGUACGGGCUCUGAGAGGAGUAGCCCGGAGAUGGGUACUGAGACACGGACCCAGGCCCUAUGGGGCGCAGCAGGCGAGAAAACUUUGCAAUGUGCGAAAGCACGACAAGGUUAAUCCGAGUGGUUUCUGCUAAAGAAACCUUUUGUCAGUCCUAGAAACACUGAUGAAUAAGGGGUGGGCAAGUUCUGGUGUCAGCC
rnacentral:rRNA from 1 species